rnacentral:lncRNA from 10 species
ACCUGACAGUCAUAUAGCUGAUAAGGAACAGCGCCAGGACCCAGAGCCAGGCAGUGUGACUGAGCAAGAGUCUGUGCUUUUAACGACUAGGUUUUGCUAGCCCAAAGCACAUACUUGAUACACGCUAUAAACACCAUGAAAGCUGGAGCUGCUCUGCAUUAGUCAUCAUCUAUCUACAGUAACUAGCAUGGUAUUUGGCACGUAUCAAAGACUGAAAGAAUAAAUGAAUGAGGUCACCAGAGGUUUAGGAGCAAGGGGUUGCAUUAUCAGCUAACCCUUUUAAGAAGAUUAAGUAGAAAUGGAUACCAUAAGUUAGAGAAGUGAAAAAUAAACAAUUGAAAACUGCUGGCGAUUAUAUGAGUAAGAGUGAAGAGUGAUUAGGGAACAGAGCUAUUUUUGCUUCAAAUUUAUAUUGACUGUGCCAGGUUGGUUAAUUGUUCACCCUGUAGGUUGCUGAGAAGCAUGAGGCACUACAAUUGGACUUGAUGAAGGGAAAUAAAUAUCAUACAGAGAGUUGUUCAGGACAUUGCGAGAAUCAUGCCACUGAAUGCUGGUGGGGCAGCCUCUGACUGGGGAGGGGUGACCACAGAUGGGAGAGAUACAUUAUGGUAUCUCAAAGGUGAAAAACAAUGUGCAGAUGCUUAUU